GCCAGGUGUGGUGGCGCAUACCUGUAGUCCCAGUUACUUGGGAGGCUGAGGUGGGAGGAUCACUUCAGCCCAGGAGGCAGAGGUUGCUGUGAGCCCAGAUUGUGCCACUGCAUUCCAGCCUGGGCAACACAGUGAGACCCCAUCUCAA
rnacentral:SRP_RNA from 1 species